CCGACCGAGGACCGAUCUGCAAGAAGCGGUCCAACGAGAUCGCACGUCGGAGGCGAACGUUCAGUUCUCGUUGUGGAAAAACUGGUCCCCACUGGACACAUCGUUUCUUCUCGUCCAACGGUUUCGUUGUUGCUGGGCGACGUGAAAUUUAGUCUGUUUAUCGAUUCAUCAAGGACACUAUACAGGAUCGUAUUUGAAAAUAUACUGAGGGUACGUACGAGGGUUACGCAUAAUGCACAGCGACCGUUGGCAACGAUAGCAUAGUAAAAUACCGGUGGCAGCUGUUAAACUGCCAGUUUUGAAAAGUAUACCUCCGUCACACCCUGCCAUUGACUCUUUUCUUUGUGGCUGGGAACUGAAAAAGCUGUAUUGAAUCAAGAAAAUAAGAAAAAGAUGAAUAAGAAACUAAAUUCUGAACACGAGGCAAACAAUCGAACCAACGAAUCACUUGUGUAAUUGCGCAUGCUUGGCACGCGCUUUUGCACAUAUGUACAUAGUUGCACGAAUGGUGGAGCCACAUAUUCUAUUAGUUGUAUUCUAUUAAUUAUUUUUAAAAAUUUAAUUAAAAAUUAUUAUAAUUUAAUUAGAAAUGAAGCAUCGUGAUAAAAUAUGCAUAUGAUAAAAUUUAUUGAUAAAAUAUUGAUAAAAUAAUAAAAAAUUAUAAUUUAAAAGAUAUUAUGAUUAAGGCCUUCUGGUUUAUGUAUCUUAUAAUUUAUUACAAAUAAAUAAAUAUUUUAAAAACUACAAAUUUAAAAUAAAUAUUAAACUUCAUAUUAAAGUAAAAUUAAAAAAUUAAAAAAAGACUCAUAAGUUUGAUAAUUCAAUAGAAACUAUUAUAAAAAUAGAAUAUAGCCGGAAUUGAAUUUUUGCUUUGAGAAUGUUUUCCAAUAUAGGUUAUUACGUAAGAAAUAACUUAAGGUAUGUAUCGGUUGAAAUAUAAAAAUCGAAAUAAAACUUAGAAACAAUUAUGUAUAAGAAAAUAAACAAUUUUGUGAGAAAAGAAAAGAUUAAUUUAUUAAAGAACUCGAAGAACUUUGAAAAAUUCGAAUUAAUAAUAUGAGAAUUUAUUCGGAUAUAUUGAAUUUAAGCAUCAAAUUAUACUAAUUAUGUUUCAGUAAUUAAUAUGAUUCUUACAUAUAGAUAUGCAUAUACAUAUCCGUGUAUAUUGUAUACACGGAAUAAUUUAUAAAUAAAAUAACUUUUCAUAUAAAUAAUGAAAACUGAAUAAAUUGUAAAAUAUAUAAAAGAGCUCCUGCAUUAUAUGCAACAUAAUCUGCGCAAUUGUGAACAUGAUUACAGUGACACAUAAGUAUACAUAAUUUAUGCCAUUCGUAUAAUAAAUAAAAUUUAAUUUACUUUACUUUACUAUUUAUUUUAUUUAUACAUACAUAUAUAUGUAUGUAUUAUAAUAAUCAAUAUAUAAGCUCUUUAAUUCCAAAAUAAAUUUCAAAAUAUUAAUAUUUUAUAUAAUAAAUUCAGAUAUAAUUAUAGAGGUAAACCUUUAAGCUUAAGCUUUUAAAAAAAAAUAUUAUUUCUAUUAUAUUUGUUCGUAAAAAUUAUAUUUUAAUCUUAUUAACUUAUUUUCUUAUUAAAAACUUAAUUGUUUUUUUCAGCUCAAUUGAAUUAAUCCUAAUUAAUCCUAUUCUAUAUAUUCUAAAUUAAUUCUAUAUAUUCUAAAUUAUCCAAAUAAAUCCAAUCUAUUGAAACUUCGAAUUUUAUAUUUUCAAUGAAUAAUCAAACCGAAAUGAUCAGAUUGAAUCGAUCAUCAAUUUAUAUUUAUUAUAUUAUUAAUGCAAUAUUAACAAAAAAGAUAAACCAAAAGAUUCUAACCUGUUUUCACCGCAUAUGUUAAUGAGGAUGGAAGAUAUUAUCGGUUCACAUACGUCUUUCGAUGGAGCGCGAUUUACAAGGCAAAAGUUAGAAAGCAUGGCUCCGUCUGUUUCCGAAACAUUGAGAUUUCUACAGAUAAAGAUACAUUUGAACAUGUAUUGCGCAUUUUCGUUAACUUUUGAUUUCAUGUGACUUUAAAACUUGUUAAUAUUAUCCAAGACCAUCUUCAUGUCAAUGUGAAUUUAUUUACUCAAUUUAUUUUCAAACUAUGACUUCCAUGUAAACAGACAUCACAUAUAUUCACGUAUUAUAAUUUCAGGAUUAAUGUGUUAUUCUACCAUGUAAUUAUACUGACAAAAUAGAUUUAUUGAUUCUUAUUUGACAGCAAAUCAAAUAUAAAUAUGAAAAUAUCUCUAUAAUAUGAUGAUUUUAUUUUACAAUAUUUUACAAUUGUUAAUAUGUAUAAUUGUUAAAUCGCGAAGAUAGACUUCCUAAAAAGAUAUAGAUAAAAAUAAUGUAUAUUAUCAUAUAUUAAAUAUGAUUCAAUGAUUGGAUCAUAAUGAUUAAAUCCCACAGAAUCAUAUGUGCAGGUGAACGUAAUCUAAUCCAACAAUAUGAUACAAUACAAGAGAAUCAUUAUUCCAAAGUGCAAAACAACAUGGUAGACAGUUAGUUUUUAAUCAAGAAGGAAAUAUACGGUAUUACAUACGUGGUAGUAGAAAAAUCAUGGCAGUGAAAGGACAGUGUAUAAGUAAAGUGACGAGAAGAAGCGUCGAGUCGUGUGUGAGAUCUGCAGGAACACGAGAUAACGGUGUGUAAUGAGGACAUUCUUGAAAGCACUCGAAAUGCAAUCUCUGCACAGCCGACAAAUUGUCUGAGAACAGUGUCGUUCUCAGAGCUGGGCCAGAGGCUGCCAUCAGCCGUAAUUAAUUGUAAUUACGGAUAAUUAGCAGGAUCCCUAACUCUUAUGUAAUCAGAUCCCACUGUUUCGUAUGCAGAAAUGGAUGAAUGGAUGUAUACAAAAUAACAUCAUUUUGAAAAUUAGGAUAUUAAUUGUUCUGCUGAUUAUUGCAUAAAAUAUAAAGAAUAUAAAAUUUAAUAGAUAUAGAAUUUUGAUCGUAAUUUUAUCAUUUUAUCAUGUUGAGAAAUUUUUAAUAAUUUUCUGCAUUAUAGAGAAUUUUUAUAACUUUGUCCGAGAAUUCAUUACUUAUAAUUCUUUCAUUAAUCAAUCACUAUAUAAAAGUAUCUUGAAAUCUAUAUUUUUUAAAUUACUUUUAUUUAGCUUCACUAAUUUAAUUUUUCAGCAAAAAUAUAUUGCUUUAUCUUCUAAACUUUGCUCAAUUUUUAGUUCAAAAAUCAUUAAUUUGAUAAAACUAUUAAACUAAUUAUUAAAAGAAAGUUUUCAGGAAAAAUAAUAAAAAAAACAAAAUCAUAUAAAAAAUUUUUCCUUAAGAAGGAAAAAAUCCAAGAAAGUAAAAGAAUGUUCCAAAGCUAUAAAACUUUGAUAGUUGAAGAGAAGUUCUCUUAAAUGUAUUCUUUGUUGACCAUUCCAGAACUAACUAAUGUCGAACACCUGCAGCCGUCCCAUUGAAAUGCUCCCGCCAAACGCUCGAUCGAUGAAACCUCGAUGAAUUCAUAUCACUUCCCGUCAGAACGGAAACGCCGUGGAUGGAAUAACUGAACGAUUGGAAACGCAUCUACACUUGUAAGCGAUCGUUUCCUUGCAACUAGGCGGGGCAUCCUCAUCGAUGCAUCUCCGUGCCAAAAAGAUGCGUGUCUUCAAUGUUUAACGAUGGAAUCAACGGAGUGAAUUCAGAUCGCCACGACACGGCUAUCAUUCUAAAUUGAACGCUUUUUCCCUUUUGCGUUCUCUCUUGGCAACCGGUCUUGAUCGGAUCGCCAUGGUUCCACGAGCCAAUUUACCAGGCAACAGGUGAUGAUUUAACACGAUGCACGGUCUAGAAUGAUAGGGUUUAAUGUAAUGGAACUUGACCUAAGUUGGUUGCCAAGAGAAACGAUAUGAUGGCAAGGAGAGAAAAUAGUUUGAUCAGAUAUAUGGAAAUACACAAAAAGUCAUUUGACCAUUGAAAGAUCAUCGUUUAAACAGUGCCAAUCAAAUCUCAGCGAGAAAGUUCACGUUAAUAACACAAAAAUAUGGCUAUUUAAAUUUAACCGGCCAAGCAUCUCAAGAAAAUCACGUUGAAAGAACAAGUAGAACAUCUAAGUACAAUAAUCUUCCUAAGACGAAUUUGAUAUAUCUUAAUUUGAAUAAUCAAGAGAACAUUCCAAGAAAAGAGAAGAAAAAGAGUAUAAGGACAACCGUUGAAAUGGACUGAGAGAAAUUGAUCGAGUUUCGAUUUUCAUGGGAUCUGGUUAAGUAAAAAUUCAUCAGUUGGACUGAUUUUCUUGUUGUUGGCAUGCCGUCCGAUAAGCAUGGUGUUAAGGUUACCUAAGCACUUUCUAUGCCAGUCGAUGGUCGCUCGCUUUGAACGAACCUCGAUUCGGAAUGGAAAUUAUGUCGUCGGUCGUUGUUACGUGGAAUGUCGUUCUCCGAUAAUGAGGGACAUCACCAAGGAUACGUGCUUGCUUAAACCGCUGUUGUUUGAUUUCAUUCACGAGAAGCUUGUACCAUGCCCACUUUUAUUGAAUUAUUAAUGCGAUCCCAAGAUUUGAUAAUAAUACAUACUUAAUGAGGUCACUGAUACAUAAUAGUAUUAGAUGUUUAUUAUAAUUCAUUCACAAGAAGUUUGCAUCCUUUUGAUAUGAAAUACCCUAUUAAACAAAAAGGAAUUUUUAUUGUACAAGUAUUAUUGACAAAAAAACUAUUGAAAUACAGAAUGAUUAGGUUUAUCUUUAUAUUUCUAUUAUAAUAUUGCAUUAAUUGUAUUAAAAAAAAGAAAAAAUUGUCUCAAGAGAGUUGAGUUUAUUAUCAAAAUCAAAGUAAUUUAAACAAGAAGAAGAAAUAAGAAGAGAGAUAUCUUUGAGGAUGGCAAGUAUAAUCUCUAAUAAAUAAUUAUUAUUAUUUUUAUCUAAGGUACCUUGUGUAAUAUACAUAUAUAAAACUGAAAACGAUACCAUAGACUGAGCAUAAAGAUCGAUUGAAGAUAGCGGUUCGCUCAUGGAAAGAAACGUUAAUCUAUGUCCAACAUACUCCAGGAGCCGGAAUUAGUUUACCAGCCGGACAAUCGCGCAUUAAUCUUCUGUUGCAUUCGAAGAGAGAAAGAGAGAGAGAAGAGGCUCUUCUUAUUAGGGAGAAACGGGAGUAUUGUGAGAAUCUAGCUUUUGGAACUAUCCUAUCUGAGCAACAAUGGAUCUGCCUGCUAGAAGAAUUACAAGCGAAAAAGGACUUAAAUCUAACUGCAUAAAAGACCUUCGACAAUUUAUGAUUCACAGGAAAUAAUUUUG